rnacentral:rRNA from 1 species
AUGAACGCUAGCUACAGGCUUAACACAUGCAAGUCGAGGGGCAGCAUGGUCUUAGCUUGCUAAGGCCGAUGGCGACCGGCGCACGGGUGAGUAACACGUAUCCAACCUGCCGUCUACUCUUGGACAGCCUUCUGAAAGGAAGAUUAAUACAAGAUGGCAUCAUGAGUCCACAUGUUCACAUGAUUAAAGGUAUUCCGGUAGACGAUGGGGAUGCGUUCCAUUAGAUAGUAGGCGGGGUAACGGCCCACCUAGUCUUCGAUGGAUAGGGGUUCUGAGAGGAAGGUCCCCCACAUUGGAACUGAGACACGGUCCAGACUCCUACGGGAGGCAGCAGUGAGGAAUAUUGGUCAAUGGGCGAGAGCCUGAACCAGCCAAGUAGCGUGAAGGAUGACUGCCCUAUGGGUUGUAAACUUCUUUUAUAAAGGAAUAAAGUCGGGUAUGGAUACCCGUUUGCAUGUACUUUAUGAAUAAGGAUCGGCUAACUCCGUGCCAGCAGCCGCGGUAAUACGGAGGAUCCGAGCGUUAUCCGGAUUUAUUGGGUUUAAAGGGAGCGUAGAUGGAUGUUUAAGUCAGUUGUGAAAGUUUGCGGCUCAACCGUAAAAUUGCGGUUGAUACUGGAUAUCUUGAGUGCAGUUGAGGCAGGCGGAAUUCGUGGUGUAGCGGUGAAAUGCUUAGAUAUCACGAAGAACUCCGAUUGCGAAGGCAGCCUGCUAAGCUGCAACUGACAUUGAGGCUCGAAAGUGUGGGUAUCAAACAGGAUUAGAUACCCUGGUAGUCCACACGGUAAACGAUGAAUACUCGCUGUUUGCGAUAUACAGCAAGCGGCCAAGCGAAAGCGUUAAGUAUUCCACCUGGGGAGUACGCCGGCAACGGUGAAACUCAAAGGAAUUGACGGGGGCCCGCACAAGCGGAGGAACAUGUGGUUUAAUUCGAUGAUACGCGAGGAACCUUACCCGGGCUUAAAUUGCAGAUGAAUUACGGUGAAAGCCGUAAGCCGCAAGGCAUCUGUGAAGGUGCUGCAUGGUUGUCGUCAGCUCGUGCCGUGAGGUGUCGGCUUAAGUGCCAUAACGAGCGCAACCCUUGUUGUCAGUUACUAACAGGUUCCGCUGAGGACUCUGACAAGACUGCCAUCGUAAGAUGUGAGGAAGGUGGGGAUGACGUCAAAUCAGCACGGCCCUUACGUCCGGGGCUACACACGUGUUACAAUGGGGGGUACAGAGGGCCGCUACCACGCGAGUGGAUGCCAAUCCCAAAAACCUCUCUCAGUUCGGACUGGAGUCUGCAACCCGACUCCACGAAGCUGGAUUCGCUAGUAAUCGCGCAUCAGCCACGGCGCGGUGAAUACGUUCCCGGGCCUUGUACACACCGCCCGUCAAGCCAUGGGAGCCGGGGGUACCUGAAGUGCGUAACCGCGAGGAGCGCCCUAGGGUAAAACUGGUGACUGGGGCU